rnacentral:rRNA from 1 species
GAUGAACGCUGGCGGCGUGCCUAAUACAUGCAAGUCGAGCGCACGGACGAGAAGCUUGCUUCUCUGAUGUUAGCGGCGGACGUGUGAGUAACACGUGGAUCACCUACCUAUAAGACUGGGAUAACUUCGGGAAACCGGAUCUAAUACCGGAUGAUAUUUUGAACCGCAUGGUUCAAAAGUGAAAGACGGUCUUGCUGUCACUUAUAGAUGGAUCCGCGCUGCAUUAGCUAGUUGGUAAGGUAACGGCUUACCAAGGCAACGAUGCAUAGCCGACCUGAGAGGGUGACCGGCAACACUGGAACUGAGACACGGUCAAGACUCCUACGGGAGGCAGAAGAAGGGAAUCUUCGGAAAUGGGCGAAAGCCUGACGGAGAAACGCCGCGUGAGUGAUGAAGGUCUUCGGAUCGUAAAACUCUGUUAUUAGGGAAGAACAUAUGUGUAAGUAACUGUGCACAUCUUGACGGUACCUAAUCAGAAAGCCACGGCUAACUACGUG